rnacentral:rRNA from 1 species
GACGAACCGUGCGAACGUUGUUCGGAAUCACUGGGCUUAAAGGGCGCGUAGGCGGGUGUGCAAGUCUGUGGUGAAAGCCUCCAGCUUAACUGGAGAAGUGCCAUGGAUACUGCACAUCUUGAGGAGGGUAGGGGCAUCUGGAACGGUCGGUGGAGCGGUGAAAUGCGUUGAUAUCGACCGGAACUCCGGUGGCGAAGGCGAGGUGCUGGACCCUUUCUGACGCUGAGGCGUGAAAGCCAGGGGAGCAAACGGG